rnacentral:SRP_RNA from 1 species
UUGUGGACUAGACCGGGAGGUUAGGCGUCUCCUGUAACCGAAAAUCGCCUUACGUCGGGGUCGAAGCCUUCAAGGCAAUGUGCAGGCUAUGCGGCGAUCCGCUAUUGGACAAUGAAAUCUCGUCCUCUGGGAUCAAAGGUGAUGGAUACUAUUGGCUGGAGAGUCAAUAGCCCAUCUUAACUUCGGGCAAAGGGUCAGGCCCGGAAGGGAGCAGCCCACCCGAGGACUAUUGGUGCUCAGAGGGUCACGGGAUCGAGGAAAGUGGCGGGCAAGUCGCUUCAUGGUUUGCAUGUUCACUUGGAGGCGUGUCCACAC